rnacentral:rRNA from 1 species
AUUGAACGCUGGCGGCAGGCCUAACACAUGCAAGUCGAGCGGUAGAGAGGUGCUUGCACCUCUUGAGAGCGGCGGACGGGUGAGUAAUGCCUAGGAAUCUGCCUGGUAGUGGGGGAUAACGCUCGGAAACGGACGCUAAUACCGCAUACGUCCUACGGGAGAAAGCAGGGGACCUUCGGGCCUUGCGCUAUCAGAUGAGCCUAGGUCGGAUUAGCUAGUUGGUGAGGUAAUGGCUCACCAAGGCGACGAUCCGUAACUGGUCUGAGAGGAUGAUCAGUCACACUGGAACUGAGACACGGUCCAGACUCCUACGGGAGGCAGCAGUGGGGAAUAUUGGACAAUGGGCGAAAGCCUGAUUCAGCCAUGCCGCGUGUGUGAAGAAGGUCUUCGGAUUGUAAAGCACUUUAAGUUGGGAGGAAGGGUCGUUACCUAAUACGUGACGAUUUUGACGUUACCGACAGAAUAAGCACCGGCUAACUCUGUGCCAGCCGCCGCGGUAA